rnacentral:lncRNA from 1 species
UCUCUUCAACCUCAUGUAUCAUCCAUCGCUUUGGCUGGAUGAUACACGCUGCUCAGACCUAGCUUACGACCCGCGAAUCUAAGCGAUGGUUACAAAAUCCAAUUUACGUCCAAAGUGACUAAAAUUGCGAUUACAAGUCUAGUUUACGAUUUAUGAGUCCAAAGUGCGACUUAAGAAUCUAAAUAAGACUCUCAUUUACAAAUCUAGCCCGAUAUUCUAAAUUUUCGACUACAAUCAACGAUACCCUCGUUUUCAAUCUAUUUUGUCGCUAUGGCCUUAAUAGACCAAGGAUCAUUUUGUCGCCUUGGCUUCAAUGAUCCUAUCCCAUCUUGUCGCUAUGGCCUUGAUAAGGAUCGAGAGUCACUCUGUCGCUAUG